rnacentral:rRNA from 1 species
GACGAACGCUGGCGGCGUGCCUAAUACAUGCAAGUCGAACGCAGUGGGGACGGGUGAGUAACACGUGGGUAACCUCCCAUCAGAGGGGAUAACACUUGGCAACAGGUGCUAAACCGCUACUGAUGGAUGGACCCGCGGUGCAUUAGCUAGUGGGUGAGGUAACGGCUCACCAAGGCCACGAUGCAUAGCCGGCCGGAGAGGGUGAUCGGCCAAACUGGGAAUGAGACACGGCCCAGACUCCUACGGGAGGCAGCAGUAGGGAAAAUUACGCAAAGGGCGAAAGUCUGACCGAGCAAAGCCGCGUGAGUGAAGAAGGUUUUCGGAUAGUAAAAAUCUGUUGUUAGAGAAGCGGUAUCUAACCAGAAAGCCACGGCUAACUACGUGCCAGCAGCCGCGGUAAUAC